GCGCAGCAGUCGAGAAACUUUACAAUGUGCGAAAGCGCGAUAAGGGAACUCUGAGUGCCUCCUAAGGAGGCUGUUCAGGUGUCUAAAAGCACCUGAAGGAAGGGCUGGGUAAGACCGGUGCCAGCCGCCGCGGUAACACCGGCAGCCCAAGUGGUAGCCACGUUUAUUGGGUCUAAAGCGUCCGUAGCCGGCUGGGUAAGUUCCUUGGGAAAUUUGGCUGCUUAACAGUCAAGCUUUCAGGGAAUACUGCUCGGCUUGGGACCGGGAGAGGUCAGAGGUACUCCAGGGGUAGGGGUGAAAUCCAUUAAAUCCUUGGGGGACCACCGGUAGCGAAGGCGUCUGACCAGACCGGGUCCGACGGUGAGGGACGAAGGCUAGGGGCGCGAACCGGAUUAGAUACCCCUGUAGU
rnacentral:rRNA from 1 species